UGGCCUGCAGGAACAGGCGCCGGGGGAGGCGAGGUGGUGCUCGCCUGCAGGGAUUAGUGGCAAGGUUAAACCAAGAGAGUAAAGGUUAAAUGACUUAAAAAUGUCCUUAGAGCUCCCUUAAGCCAAUUACUGCUCCCGCGUCAGUCUGCGUGGUGGCGGUGGCGGCGUGUAACGUAUGCAAGACGGUGCGUGCGGUGCCUGAACACGGAAUGUCCUGUUGGGUCAUUCAAGAUUUAUAGUGCUGACGUCUCAGCUCCUGCAGGAGUAUCCCCUUGCACCGCCUCGGAUAUCUCCCGUUGAGGGUUUAUUCGUUUUUCGCAAGGGCGGCGUUCGCGUCGGAGCUCGGCGAUCUCAUCCCCCGGUAAACGAGCCCGCGGUUAAAACCCGGCGGCACCCUCCAUGCCUGGAGCCCCUGCGGGCGAUGCGCCGUUGGCUUGGGCGCGCUCAGGGGCCGCACGUGUCCUUCUUUGAGCCAAAAAACCGUUUUGGAACAGCCUGCGAUUGAGUUUUGCGUCAGGGCAGCCGGGGCAGGCAGGAGCCAUCCUGCUGCCGCCUCAGCGUAAAUCUGUAAUAAAUUGAUACCACUAGCUCUGAGGGUAGGUAGGGCCAAAGCCUUGCGUGGUUUGGGGUCUUGUUGUUGCAGUGGGUGUUUCCUAAACCGCUCAUAAAACGCCUCUGGGACCUAAUGUUUAUUCAGAAAAAACAAACAAACAAACAAACAAACAAACCCAAAAGCCAGGGGGAAAUGAUGAGCUUUGACAGUACAGCUUUAUUUUUAAAAAAAAAACCCUUUCCGAGUCUGAGCGACAUCUAAGCUUUAAACAGGCUUAUCACCUGAAGCUUCUGGAGGCAACUUGCUUCUGCCGCAGAGGCGACGGCCCUCGUUUCGCUCCGGUGAGGCUCUGGGAAGGACCCGGCUCCUGGGAGCAGCGCUGGCGUUGAGCGGGGGCCAGGCACUGCUUUGUAAAUUGUCUUCUCUCUGUCUCUGCGAAAAGCAAACCCAAUCCAGCCCCAGGAACCCAAGCCGUGCGUUGGGACACUGGUUUAAUUUGCUGGCUGGCCCCCUCCGGUGGGAUGCAAAUCAGAGCCGUGCUAUAAUCACGGCAAUUAGACAGUCAAUCGAUCCUUCUCCAAAUAUUGAUGGAGGAAGGUUUCCUCACUGGAUUUUGAUGCUUCCUCUAGAGUUCUCGAUCCGAACGCGGUGGAUUUCACAGCUUUCAAAUGCCUGUCACCUCCGUGUAUCCCGUUCCCAAGUGUGGGAGUAAAUGCUGAGCCCACGUACGAAAUAAUAAAGCAUUUGCCUUU